rfam:Vigna angularis cultivar Jingnong 6 C2796905_1, whole genome shotgun sequence.
AUGUGAACGGCACUUGCACAUGGGUUAGUCGAUCCUAAGGGACGGGGGAAGCCCGUCUGAUAGCGCUUUCAGCGCGUACUCCGAAAGCGAAUCGGGUUAAAAUUCCUGAACCGCGACGUGGCUGCUGACGGCAACGUUAGGGAGUCCGGAGACGUCGGCGGGGGCCCCGGAAAGAGUUAUCUUUUCUGUUUAACAGCUUGCCCACCCUGG